UCUAAAUAUUUCUAUUAUUCAAACAAAUUUGUCUAUAUAAAAAAAAUAGUAUAUUAAUAUUUUAAGUAUAAAAGAUAGAAAUUUUAUUAAGAUUUUCUGUAAAGAAAAAAGAUGGUAAUUAAAAAAGUUAAAAUAUGUUCUUUUUGGAUCAAGAUUUGAUAAAAAACUCUUAUUUGCAUAAUAAUUUUCGAAAAAACAUGAUUUUGUAUUAAGAAAUUUCAUUAUAUUUCAAUAUAAUGAGGAAAAUAACUAAUAUAAGAAGUGAUAUGCCAAUCAUAUGUUUAGAUAACUAAUUUAUAUAAAUAUAAUUAAGGGUCAGCUUUAAUUUCUCAUACGAUAGUUCAAAAAAAAAUAUAUUUCGUAAUAUUUAUAGUAUAAUUUUGUAUAAAAACUAAUUUUUUUUUCCUAAUUUUAAGAUUUAUAAAGAUUAUAUAAAAUAAAUUGUUAAAAUAAGUAAUUAAAGAAUAAAUUUUAAAAUAACUAAAAAUAUUUUUUUUUGUGAAAUUCAAAUAUUUUCUAAGAACUAGGAGUUUUCCAAAAUGUUUACUAAAAACGAUUUUACUAGAUUCUUAUUAGUAAUUUCUUUUAUUUUCAAUGUGAUUAAUAAAUUAUACUUAGUUUUAAAUUAUUUCAAGUAGACUUAAUUAGUUUACCCUUAAUAAAGAAUUGGGAAGAGAUAUUUAGAAAAUAAAUAAUGAAUUUUUUCAUUAUGUGAAGAAACAUAAUUAUAAAAAAAAGACGAAAAGACCCUAAGUGAUUUAGAUAUACUAGAGAGAAUUACUCUAUAAUUCUUUGUUGGGGUAACUACUGUAAUAUUUAACAAUAGUAUUUAUUUUUUAUUUAUUUAUUAAAAAAGAUCCUUAAUAAAUAUAUUUAUUUAAGAUUAUUUGAAAAAUUAACCUUAGGGAUAACAGCGCUAAUACAUUAAACAAGUUCUUAUUGUUUAAUGUGUUUACGACCUCGAUGUCGGUUUACUUUAACUAAUUUUUGUAAAAGAGAAUAAAGUUUGUUUGCUAACCAAAUUAUUAAGUACAUGAGCUGGGUUAAGGACGAAGUGAUUCAGUCCGGACUUUAUCUUUUAUUAAAAUUAUUUUGAGUACGAAAGGAAAACUAUAAUUAUAUUUUUUAU